CUGGAAUCUUUCGGGAGGUGAUGGACACGGAAAAGGAAGGCCGACUUCGAUUUCUGAAUGUGAAAGAGUACCUGUCUGUGCUUGAUAAAGAUGUAAUCGAGGGGAACCAAGUGAUCAUCGACUUCGCCUUUAAUCUUGUGCCAAUCAGUGGAAAUUACUUUUCUGAUACAGGUAAAUGUAACUUCUAUAUUGGACGUGAAAGACUUAUAGCACAAAGUCUCGGCAUGAUUGGAAAGAAAGGGGAUCCCAUCGUUCCUCCUAUGACUAAAAGGAUUAUGACCAUGAUUGAAGCCGGUCUCUACCACCACUGGUACAUACAAGGGAUUCCGAAUGCUACGUCUUGUGAUGCAUUUUCAAGCAAGGUUACCGUCAUCACACUGUUUUCACUUAGCAAUACGUGGGCCAUGUUUGCAAUGCUUGCUGGGGGACUUGCAUUCAGUUUUGUUAUUCUUAUUUUAGAAUAUUCGAUUUCUUGGAUCGUAAUAUAGACCUCGUUUAUAUGGACAAACUCUAUCAAUGAGGUUAAAUCAUAAAAUUUCUGAUGUCCACUGUCGUGGUGUCGACCAGGCUUAAUAUACCGCAUAACUCAUGAUUUUUAAUUUGUGAGCAAACGCCUUGUAGAAAUUCAAAACAAUGAAAGUCUGCAAAUCGUGA